UCCUUUCAGACAAGUCCAAUAGAAAUUAUAAAACGUCCAGGUGGUGAAAAGAUUGACAUUCAGGGGUACACAACUGCAGAAAACCCAAAUUUUUCUAUAGACAUUCGAUGCCCACCCGCAGGUACUGGAGAAAUUGCCUCUCACCUAAACGUGCAAAUGCAUUACGACAGCCAAACACGAGGCGCGUCAUAUACUCGGCGAUUUGGUUUUGUUAUGUACGGCAAAUUUGACUUUCACCAGCAAAUUGUUAUAGCAAUUCAAACAAGUUCAGGUUAUACUAAGGUUGAUGCAAUCCUGGCAGCAGGUUCGACCGAAUUACCAGUCUCUGAUUGUUAUGACUAUUUGGAAUUUUACGGAGACCUAAAAGUAGAAAAAAUCGUGAUGUCAUGAGAGGAUCAAACAGCACAUCAAUUGUGUUUUAUGUUUUUGAAUAUUGUGAUGUUGUUAAGAAAGCAACACAUCAAUAAAUAUUGGGUAUUUAAUAAUGUAUUUCACACACAUGCAUAUAUACAAACACAUUAAACAAACAGUGCAUACACAUACACACAUGCCAUGCACAUUUACAAAAAAAGUUAAAGUUUUGUUUGUUGUUACGUACAAACACUAAUAAUUUUUUUUUAAACGUCACUUAAAAACACAUUUUCGCACACAUACCCUUUUACACAUAUAAAAAGACAAACAUAAAUAUUUUUAGUUUGGGAAGGGUCUUGAACUUAAU